GGGGCUGUAGCUCAGUGGCAGAGCGCUUGCCUAGCAAGCAUGAGAUACUGGGUUUGAUCCUCAACACCA
rnacentral:tRNA from 1 species